GCACACACACCGCACACACACUCACAAGCAAACACACACACACACAGACACAUAAAUCACACACACACCUUUACUUACCUUGGCUGUAGUACGCAACCUACCCACAGGAUACAGGAGCCACGCCUUCUAGUAUAUAUCUACACACUCAACCACAUUUCACAAGUACCAAACAUCUGCUACCUGGAUUUGAGCUCUAAAAAGAAAAAUGUCAACUCCAUCCAAUGAAGAACCAUCUUACAUGGGUUGGUCCAUCUUCACAACAAUAUGUUGCUGUUUGCCAUUGGGAAUAGCUGCCAUCUACACAUCAAAUCAAGUCACUGCAGCAAAUGCGGCAGGUGAUAUGGAGAAGGCAAGACAUUCAUCCCGGGCAGCCAGAAAUUUUAAUAUUGCUGGACUUAUUUUCGGACUCAUAUGCCUAAUAUACAUUAUACAAAAGAUAGCCAAUUCCUGAAGACAAGACUACAACUGCAUCAUAAUUGUAUUGGUAGAUGAUAUAAUUUGUUUCCUAAUAAAUGUUAUCCUUUCUCAGA